rnacentral:rRNA from 1 species
GACGAACGCUGGCGGCGUGCUUAACACAUGCAAGUCGAACGGAAAGGCCCUGCUUUUGUGGGGUGCUCGAGUGGCGAACGGGUGAGUAACACGUGAGUAACCUGCCCUUGACUUUGGGAUAACUUCAGGAAACUGGGGCUAAUACCGGAUAGGAGCUCCUGCUGCAUGGUGGGGGUUGGAAAGUUUCGGCGGUUGGGGAUGGACUCGCGGCUUAUCAGCUUGUUGGUGGGGUAGUGGCUUACCAAGGCUUUGACGGGUAGCCGGCCUGAGAGGGUGACCGGCCACAUUGGGACUGAGAUACGGCCCAGACUCCUACGGGAGGCAGCAGUGGGGAAUAUUGCACAAUGGGCGGAAGCCUGAUGCAGCAACGCCGCGUGCGGGAUGACGGCCUUCGGGUUGUAAACCGCUUUCGCCUGUGACGAAGCGUGAGUGACGGUAAUGGGUAGAGAAGCACGGGCUAACUACGUG